GGGGGCGCGAUUGGUAUUCGUCAACAACUAGAACCCGCAAGGGAAGCUGUUGGGUGAAGGUUCGAUUCCUUUCGCCUCCA
rnacentral:tRNA from 1 species